rfam:Streptomyces griseus subsp. griseus NBRC 13350 DNA, complete genome.
CUUCAACGAACCCAACAGCAGCGCAGCACCCUCCUCACGCCCCUGCCCGUACGUCGCCAACAACGCCUGCGCCUC